GUCUAGCAUGGUGUAGUGGUUUUUGCGUUGGACUAUGACUCUGGAGUUGUGGGUUCGAUUCCCAGGUUGGCCA